UACGGGGGGGAGCAAGCGUUGUUCGGAUUUACUGGGCGUAAAGGGCGCGUAGGCGGUCAGUGCAAGUCAGUUGUGAAAUCUCCGAGCUUAACUCGGAAAGGUCAACUGAUACUGCUCGACUAGAGUGCGGAAGGGGCAACUGGAAUUCUUGGUGUAGCGGUGAAAUGCGUAGAUAUCAAGAGGAACACCUGCGGCGAAGGCGGGUUGCUGGGCCGACACUGACGCUGAUGCGCGAAAGCUAGGGGAGCGAACGGG
rnacentral:rRNA from 1 species